rnacentral:rRNA from 1 species
GAUGAACGCUAGCGGCAAGCCUAACACAUGCAAGUCGAACGGUAACUUUUGGUGCUUGCACCGAAAGACGAGUGGCGAACGGGUGCGUAACGCGUAUGCAAUCUACCUUUUACUAGGGUAUAGCCCGGAGAAAUUUGGAUUAAUCCCCUAUAAUAUCAUGAAUUCGCAUGAUUUUAUGAUUAAAGCUUAAACGGUAAAAGAUGAGCAUGCGUCCUAUUAGUUAGUAGGUGAGGUAACGGCUCACCUAGACUACGAUAGGUAGGGGUCCUGAGAGGGAGAUCCCCCACACUGGUACUGAGACACGGACCAGACUCCUACGGGAGGCAGCAGUGAGGAAUAUUGGACAAUGGACGAAAGUCUGAUCCAGCUAUGCCGCGUGCAGGAUGACGGCCCUAUGGGUUGUAAACUGCUUUUAUGCAGGAAGAAAAAAUCCGACGUGUCGGAUCUUGACGGUACUGUAAGAAUAAGGAUCGGCUAACUCCGUGCCAGAAGG